ensembl:lncRNA
UGCAUAUGAAUCAAGUAAGAAAUAUGUUCUAACUUAAAGCUGAGUAUUAUAACACCACUAAUAUUUAGGCCAAAAACACCAUAUGUCACCAGAAACUGAGCAUUUGUUUAGGAAGAUAAUAAACACCCCCUCUCCGCCUUUAUCAACUAUGCGAGUCAUUUCUGAGUUUUUCCAUCUGCUUUCAGGCGUCAUCUCCGAACAUUGUGAAAUUGGACACCUAAGUUUCUUCCCAACCCGGCCGCCCCUUCCACUUAUUACUCCAGAAACUAACUAAAGCUCAUGUGCUGGUCGUACAGUGCACAUUUCAACGUGUCGAAUGGUUUUUGAGCAAGAAACUGACGGGGGAAAAGAACACAAACAAACAAACAAAACAAAACAACACGGACGGAGCUUCUAAAGUUUAGCCUGAAACAAAACAGGGCCACGGAAGGAUUUCGCGAGCGGGCGGGGCGGCGGGAAGUGUAAGAUAGGGAGGGGGGGUUUCCUCACACUGGAGGAAUGAUUAACUAAUAAGACGCAAUUAAUUGAACUCUGUGAAUUUAUCCGCUUCGAUGGAUUGUCACUUUUGGACCGUAAUGGCAGUUUAUGUGUCAAGAACAGCGCUGCGAUAAGGAGAGGUAAGGAACUAACUUCAAAUCAUCCGCCCCCUUAGAAAAACAGACUAUGGCAUGUGUGGUAUGGUCCUCAGAACUUUCUCUAGCUGCAUACUGAUUAUUUAUUAUUUAGGGAAAAUGCCUGUCGUUUGCUUGCCCAUCAAGUUUUAAACGUUUUUUUUUUUUAUCCUUUAAAAACAAACAAACAGUGAAACUAUCACUUUGUAAACUGUCACUGUAUGUUUGUGUGUGAGAGCACGAUCCCCAGUGUUACACUAAUACCCUAUUACUAAACUAUAGCCUAACUCUUAAAAGUUAGCCCUCUGUGUAUAUAUUUGGUAUGUUGUCUAUUAUAUCAAAAGCCUGAAUUGAAGAUGCAGAGCCAUUAAGAUGAUUACUGAUACAUGAAGUUUCAUUUAAGCACAAAUGGUUUGUCUCAAAUGACUUUGCCUCACUUACGAGGAGCACAUGGACGAGGAGGUGGACGGCAGUGGGAAGGAAGAACAGAAUGCUGAUGACCCUGCUCUUCCUUGUGCCAGCCUUGUGGCACAGAACCAGCCUCAGCACCACCAUGAGCUCUACACACAAGACCAGGACCUUCCCAUCAUGCACUGGGAGGAUUUGAGUUUGCGAAUAGCCGAGCUUGAGAAACAGGAGGAAGAGAGGAGGAAAAGAGCUGAGUCCAUGGGUUUAACAGACCAAGAACCAGUGCCAGGACCCUGGCCUCAUGUAAAGCACCAGUCACUUAACAGAAAGCAGUGGGAAGAUGCAGGUGAUCUUGGAGGACAUCGUUUUCCAUGCAUUACAUCUCGGUUUAACACUCCUAAAAACCUGCAGCUGUGUUUUAUCAACGAUAGUGAGAGCGAUCAAGAGGGUGAUGAAGGGGCAUCCUUCAGAGAGAGGCCACAUGAUUCACAGGGACAGGGGCGACAAUCUGCCGGCCUGAAACAGGAAGUCAGAGCAGCUCUGAAUGAGCUCCGAGAUAAGCUUUGGGCUGAGCAGGGGCAGCAACAGCAGCCGAGCCACAAGGACGUGAGCUUUAGGAGAAGAAAGCUUAGCCACAGUGACCUGCAAACCUGCUCUGUGCUUCAGCUAAAUGCUCUCAGGACUUCCCUCCAUGAAGACAUUCAGGAUCUGAGCUCAGAAUUAGUGAAGCAUCUGGUGGUGAGGGACAAUCUACGGACAAAGCAAGAUGCCAUGCUCCUGGAUGUACAGGAUAUGACAUCACUGUGACGCACAUCAAUCUAUAAUUAGCCUUUAUUAUAAAAUAGUCUGCCAUAUGAUAGGCCUUUUUGGAAUGAUGGACCUAUAUUACACCAGCAAUUUAUUGUCUAAUAUGUUUUUGUUUUCUACUUUACACUAACAAAGCCAUAUGAUCCUGUUUGUCUUGAUUCGCUUUUUUGUGCUCACACAAAUAUUGCUUACUAUGUGAAUGUAAUUAUUUUAGUCACAAGUUUUAUUGUGAGAAACUGUGCAUGUGUGAAAGAGUAGCUAAACAAGCAUGCUCUUCAUGUUUUCAACAUUUGUUUUACAUUACCAUCUGUAAAAACUGUGAAAGCUGCUAUUAAAUGUACGUGUGAUCAGUAACUGCUUCAUGGGAGUAAGAACUGCAUGUAAUAUAAUAUAGCAUCUGCUGAAUAUGGGGCUUCAUGUUGUAAAAACACUAACACAACCUUUAAGUAUUUUUCUUAAAAUUUGACAAUUAAUAUAACUGAAUAAAUUUGUAACGUUUACUUAACUCCUAAAUGCUUGGGUGUUUUGCCAGCCUUUGUCAUUUUUGAGAUACUAUACUAUCAGUGCUUUCAAAUGCAUUGAGCUACAUGUAACAAUAUUCACUGUUAACUACAUCCAUGGUUAUUUUGCCGAUUACAUAUCUAAGCGAAAUCACUUUUUUUCAGUUCAUUUAUUCUAAGUGGUCAUUUUGUUAACUGAAAAACAAAACAAAGAACGAAUGAGGAGGGAGUAGGUUAGAGGUCGCAAGCAACCAAUUGUAUGCAUUUAGGGUUAAUAUUUAAAGCAUAUGGCAUAUUCUUAUUUCUUCUGUUUCAAUAUCUGUUUCCAAAGGUCCAUCCAUCCAUUCAUCCAUCCAUAUUCUGUACCGCUUAUUCUACACAAGGUUGUGGGUGAGCCUGGAACCUAUCCCAGGGAACUCGGGGCACAAGGCAGGGGACACCCUGGAGGGGUGCCAUCCCAUCACAGGACACAAUCGCACACACAGACACACUACGGCCAAUUUGGAAAUGCAAAUCAGCCUACAACACAUGUCUUUGAACUGUGGGAGGAAGCUGGAGUACCCAGAGGAAACCUCCGAAGUACGGGGAGAACAUGUGGAGUGGAGGUGAGAGGUGCAAGCCAAACAUAAAACUUGCAUAAAGUGCAAGUUUUGUUAAUCAUGUAGCCUAUGCAAUGACACCCAGUGUACUAACAGUUGCAAACGUUUUUAUUUUUAUUAUUAUUAUUUAAAUUUUUGUAAUAACCUUUACCUUCCUUUUAAUUCAAGAACCUUUAAACAAGAAGGAACAUUAACCUUGCAUUCUUGGCAGGUGUCUGACUGAAGCUUUGCACUUGAAAAGUCAAGGAGAAACAUGCUCUAACUUACAAGCUCCUGAAGAUCCACUUGCUACCUCAUAGCAUGUCUACUGGAGUGAAUGUCAGUGUCUAAUAAACAUGAUCUCUCAGCCUUGCACCGCUUAGCUGCUCAGCCAAGCAAAGUAAAACAUGGUCUGAGAGAGUGAGAGCAAGAGAAAGAUCAGAAUAACAAGCAG